rnacentral:lncRNA from 1 species
UCCUGGGAGGCUCCUAUCGUUUUAUCAAAAUGGCAAGAUGGGCAUAUGCCCUGAACUCUAUUUUUGGCCUUUUAAGUUUCUCAACUGAAGAUCCGCCUAUUUACUUCUUUUGAUAUUCCUGUUCUUACUCAGUUGGCAGAUGGAGCAUACCCCUUUUCCACGAUGGUGUAUUCUGGGAAAUCCUCACAGGUAAAAUAUGCUCGAAAUCUUGGUAAUGUCUUCGGCUCUCUCCUUUUAGAUAUAUCAUGUAUACGUAAACGGUAAACCCAUGUUCUUGGCAUCAAUUCGUCAUUGCACUAAUGGUGGUCUUGCUCUUGCAGGUAUUAGAUACAUAUGCCUAAUUGUAUGUUCCUGGUC